GGAGCAAUGAUGACAAAUAAAUACCAUGAAGAAAGAUGAUAACAUAAUAAUCAUGCUAAAUAAAUUACUAAGAAGCCC